rnacentral:rRNA from 1 species
AGCGAACGCUGGCGGCAGGCUUAACACAUGCAAGUCGAGCGGGCAUCCUUGUGGUUUCAGCGGCAGACGGGUGAGUAACGCGUGGGAACGUGCCCUUCGGUUCGGAAUAACUCAGGGAAACUUGAGCUAAUACCGGAUACGUGCGAGAGCAGAAAGGUUUAUCUGCCGAAGGAUCGGCCCGCGUCUGAUUAGCUAGUUGGUGAGGUUACGGCUCACCAAGGCGACGAUCAGUAGCUGGUCUGAGAGGAUGAUCAGCCACACUGGGACUGAGACACGGCCCAGACUCCUACGGGAAGCAGCAGUGGGGAAUAUUGGACAAUGGGGGCAACCCUGAUCCAGCCAUGCCGCGUGAGUGAUGACGGCCUUAGGGUUGUAAAGCUCUUUUCUCCGGGACGAUAAUGACGGUACCGGAGGAAUAAGCCCCGGCUAACUUCGUG